GAACUAGUUGUGGGGACCAUUCCACGGUUUCCGUGACGCAGCUAACGCAUUAAGUUCCCCGCCUGGGGAGUACGGCCGCAAGGCUAAAACUCAAAGGAAUUGACGGGGACCCGCACAAGCGGCGGAGCAUGCGGAUUAAUUCGAUGCAACGCGAAGAACCUUACCAAGGCUUGACAUAUACGAGAACGGGCCAGAAAUGGUCAACUCUUUGGACACUCGUAAACAGGUGGUGCAUGGUUGUCGUCAGCUCGUGUCGUGAGAUGUUGGGUUAAGUCCCGCAACGAGCGCAACCCUCGUUCUAUGUUGCCAGCACGUAAUGGUGGGAACUCAUGGGAUACUGCCGGGGUCAACUCGGAGGAAGGUGGGGAUGACGUCAAAUCAUCAUGCCCCUUAUGUCUUGGGCUUCACGCAUGCUACAAUGGCCGGUACAAAGGGCUGCAAUACCGUGAGGUGGAGCGAAUCCCAAAAAGCCGGUCCCAGUUCGGAUUGAGGUCUGCAACUCGACCUCAUGAAGUCGGAGUCGCUAGUAAUCGCAGAUCAGCAACGCUGCGGUGAAUACGUUCCCGGGUCUUGUACACACCGCCCGUCAAGUCAUGAAAG
rnacentral:rRNA from 1 species